ACACAUGCAAGUCGAACGAGCGAGAGAGAGCUUGCUUUCUCGAGCGAGUGGCGAACGGGUGAGUAACGCGUGAGGAACCUGCCUCAAAGAGGGGGACAACAGUUGGAAACGACUGCUAAUACCGCAUAAGCCCACGGGUCGGCAUCGACCAGAGGGAAAAGGAGCAAUCCGCUUUGAGAUGGCCUCGCGUCCGAUUAGCUAGUUGGUGAGGUAACGGCCCACCAAGGCAACGAUCGGUAGCCGGACUGAGAGGUUGAACGGCCACAUUGGGACUGAGACACGGCCCAGACUCCUACGGGAGGCAGCAGUGGGGAAUAUUGCACAAUGGGGGAAACCCUGAUGCAGCGACGCCGCGUGGAGGAAGAAGGUCUUCGGAUUGUAAACUCCUGUUGUUGAGGAAGAUAAUGACGGUACUCAACAAGGAAGUGACGGCUAACUACGUGCCAGCAGCCGCGGUAAAACGUAGGUCACAAGCGUUGUCCGGAAUUACUGGGUGUAAAGGGAGCGCAGGCGGGAAGACAAGUUGGAAGUGAAAUCCAUGGGCUCAACCCAUGAACUGCUUUCAAAACUGUUUUUCUUGAGUAGUGCAGAGGUAGGCGGAAUUCCCGGUGUAGCGGUGGAAUGCGUAGAUAUCGGGAGGAACACCAGUGGCGAAGGCGGCCUACUGGGCACCAACUGACGCUGAGGCUCGAAAGUGUGGGUAGCAAACAGGAUUAGAUACCCUGGUAGUCCACACCGUAAACGAUGAUUACUAGGUGUUGGAGGAUUGACCCCUUCAGUGCCGCA
rnacentral:rRNA from 1 species